AAUAAGGUGUACGGGUGAGUAAUAAUAAAUAAGAUACCCUACAGACUUCGGUAAUAGAGGAUAGUUCUUUUUUUUACACAAAUUAAGAAUAAAGGGACUUCAUUUAUGUUAUCUAAAAAUUUUUUAAAAUAUUUAGAAAUAUAAUUCCUACUGUAGGAUUCUAUUUAUCUUGAAUAGGUAGUUGAUAGGGUAAUGGCCUACCAAGCCUACGAUCAAUAGCCAGCUUGAAAGAGGGAUUGGCCACAUUGGGUCUGAAAUUUACCCAAGUAGUGCAUAACUACCAGCAGCCGAGAAUAUUUGUCAAUGCUCGCAAGAGUGAACAAGCCAACUGGAAUCACAACAACUUGUGAUAAAGUAAGGGAGGAUAAUGACGUUACCUUACUAUUAGUGUCGUCUAAAAUUGGUGCCAGAAGACUCGGUAAUACCAAAUACACAAACGUUAGUCAUCAUAAAUAGGCGUAAAGGGUUUGUAGGCUGCUCAUAAUUAUAUAUUAAGAGCUAGAAUCAAAUAGAGGUCAAUAUCAUACCUAGUGAAAGAAUUAAAUCUGUAAAUAUUAGGGGGAAUACUAGAAGCGAAGGCGAUUUUCCAUUUAAUGAUUGACGCUGAGACACGAAGGUUGGGGCAGGAAAUAGGAUGUGCGACCCAAUUAGAUACCCUAGCACUCCCAACUGUAAACGAUGAAUGGUAGGUGUUAAUUAUAUUAAAAUUAGUACCGAUGUGAACACGUUAACCAUUCCGCCUUGUGAGUAUACUUGCAAAAGUGAAAACAAAAAAAUUAGUCGGCCCCGAAGCAAACGAAGUGAAGCAUGUUGUUUAAUACGAUAAUCCGCGUAAAAUCUUACCAUGGCUUGAAUAUGACUUUUCUAAGAAUAUUUCACGAAAAAAUGUUCAUUUGUUAAAAAUAAUUCUAAUUUUGAUAAAGAUCAAUGAAGAAUUUUUAACAGAGAAAAGGAAUAAUUACUAUUAUUCAUUUACAGGUGUUGCAUGGCUGUCGUCGGUUCGUAUCGUGAGAUGUUUGGUUAAUUCCGCUAACGAACGCAAUCCCUAUUGUUAAUUUAUACUUAACACUGGCUUACCCUAAAAAAGGGAAGUUGUUUGGGGCUAUGACAAGCCGUUAUGACCCUUAUGCCGUGGGCUAUAGACGUGCCACAAAAACUUUAACAAUAUGAAGCAAUCCAUCGCCAACUCUCGAGUAAUUUGGGAAAAUUAGUAGGAGAACAUGAGGAGCUAAUCAUCAAAAUAAGUUAUAGCCGGAUUGUUGCCUGAAACUCGGCAACAUGAAGAAGGAAUUUCGAGUAAUCGUUGAUCACCAGCGCAACGGUGAAGACAUAAUUCGGGGUUUAUGGUUAAGAGCCCCUUUCUGAUUUAAAAUAUCAGAAAAAAAACUGGAUAAAUUGCAAGAAAAACUUUAAUAAAAGUCAAUUUGCAGCCAAGUACGUUAAGUGAAAUUUAUUUUUUAUUAUAAAGUGUAACGUAAAGGUUCAACGACUAAUGGGUGAGUAUUCACAACGAUAAUCCCAACACGAACAUCCAGCAGUAGUCAGUAUUCCCAUGGGAAUGUUUUCUAAUGAUGACAUAGUCUGAACAGUAGUGUGAACUACUGAAGUAGUGGUUAAAUUUCCUCUACGGUAACAAUAUUGGAACUAACCGUCCAUCAAGAGGAAGAAGUGUUACAGCAGGAAGAGGUGGCGAUUGAACCUCUUUGAUAAGCUAUGAAAUUAGAUUUAUUUUAUAAUUCUAAGUUCUUAUUUAAAGUUCAUGGACUGUUUCCAAUGUAUUAACAUAACAUCUUCUAAGUUGUAGCAAGGUAGUCUGUACUGGAAAGUGCCGCUGUAUUAUACAAAACUUAAACCCCCUCUUUGCCGGAUAAUAAUGGGAUGAACCAAAAUCGGGGCAGCAGCUAGCUUGCUUUUGUUUUUUUCUUAAGAAAUCCGUUAGAAAUCCCAAAUUUUGUGAGGACUUUAAGCUAUAGCUUAAAGCCUCUCGACUCAUUCGAUUAGUCGAAUGAGUUCGACAUCAAAAUUCUUGUGCUUUCAAUUAUAAAUAAUCUAUUUUUGAUUUAGUAUUUGGUUCCGAAGGAACAAAAUACUAAAUAAAAAAUUUUUGUCUACCACCUAUAGGUGGUAGACAAAACCGGAUUGUUUAAAUUGAAAGACUAGGGAUUAGAAAAUCGUAGAUUUUCU
rnacentral:rRNA from 1 species